rnacentral:rRNA from 1 species
UACAUAGGUGGCGAACGUUAUCCGGAUUUAUUGGGCGUAAAGGAUGCGUAGACGGUAAAAAAAAGUUAUUGGUCAAAGUCAAGCUCAACUUAAACUGAAGCCAGUAAUACUAUUUUGCUAGAGAAUGGGAGAAGUUAAUGGAAGUUUACGAGGAAGGGUGAAAUCUGUUGAUCCGUAAGGUACCACCAAGAAAAGGCGAAGGCAAUUAACUAUUCCACUUCUGACGUUGAGGCAUGAAAGCGUGGGGAGCAAACCGG